UGCGGUGUAGCUCAACGGUAGAGCAGCCUCUUUCUAAGGGGUGUUACAUUGACGAUACGUCAUGCGUAGAUGCAACGGCCAGUCACCAAUGCUAAAACGUAUGUAUGGUGCUGGUUCAAGUCCGGCCACCGCACC
rnacentral:tRNA from 1 species